rnacentral:rRNA from 1 species
UACAGAGGUCCCGAGCGUUGUUCGGAUUCACUGGGCGUAAAGGGUGCGUAGGCGGUGAGGUAAGUCGGAUGUGAAAUCUCCGAGCUCAACUCGGAAAUGGCAUUGGAAACUACCUUGCUCGAGGGUUGGAGGGGGGACUGGAAUACUUGGUGUAGCAGUGAAAUGCGUAGAUAUCAAGUGGAACACCAGUGGCGAAGGCGAGUCCCUGGACAACUCCUGACACUGAGGCACGAAAGCUAGGGGAGCAAACAGG